UCUAAAAUGAGGGAUUAACUACAAGGCCUCAACAAAUUGUCCACACCUGUCGAAUUUCGGUGGUCUUACGGAAUGAUGGGGGGCCAAUUUCGGAUGAAGCUCCAGGAAUCAAGGCGUCUAAAUUCUAAAAGACGUUCAGCGAUGCAACUUGUUGGAAUAUCGUUCAUUGCGCUACUGCAGCAAAGAAACAACUCCAAUCAGUCAGAGCGCUUUGGCCACAAGUGGAAACGAUUCACAUGUCCUUUCAAAGGGCCCAUGAACUGGGCAUCCUUACAAAGUAAAUCCAACAAGAUUUGGGGAGGGGAAGAAAUCCAGUCCCUUCGCAAUGGAGUUGGUUUCACGAUGGCAAUGGGGUGAUACGUAGCUGUGAGAAGCUAGACGACAGAUCAAGGCAUUGGGAGAUAAUUGUGUGUGCAUCCACAAGCGUCCCUUCUAAGUUUCGAAUAAUGCAGGUGAUUGCUCCUUCCAUGGAGCUUUUGACGAAGGAAUCCAUCAAUGUUGACCUCUAAAGAUCCGACCUUUGGGGGUUUCCAGUUCUCAGAAGAGGUGGGAGCGUCAAGGUCCGAUUUUUUGCUUUGAAUUCCAUCUCCUGCAAUUGCCGAGAGAAGAUAGAGCUCCCCUGUAGUGCUUGAACUGGGUCUGGGGGUUUCUUUCGAAAGAUGAAGUUGUUACGGGAAGUCCAAAUAAGCCAAAAGAUGGUUGCUACAAGCGCCAGAGAAGGUGGGUUUUCUGUGUUUUUAAGGAAUUGCAUUAGCCUUAUCUCUAUUCUGCUUGACCCUGGGAAGAAACCUGAAUGUUUAGGAAUGGUUGAACCCAUAUGUCUUGUGUCCAAGGACAAAGGAGAAGGAGACGCUCUGGGAUUCCACCUGGUCUUUACACAGUGAGCAGUCUUAUUCCAUAAAGCCUGAGGAGCCAAGAAAGAUGAGGAAGCCAUUGGAGCUUUUCGGAUAUUCUCGGUAAGUCUUAUGUAGUUGUAGCCACUCUUUACUGAGUAAUUUCCUGUUGAUGAAUAUCUCCAUACCAGUUUGUCUUGAAUAGAGUGGGUUGUUGGAGGAAUAGCCAGAAUUUCCUUCACGAUGUCCUCUUCGAAAAUAUUUCGAAGAAGAGGUUCAUUCUAGGAAUUUUCUUUGUGGUUUAUAACCUCUACUACCUGUUGUGGGUCAUUUUUAUUGGCUGGCCCUCCAAUUACACCUCUUUAGAACCAUCUGUCCUCUAUGAUACUGAUUGCUUCUCCUGUUUCCACUGUCCACAUUGAAGGUUCUAAGAUUGAGUCUCUUCCCUCUAGUAAGCUUUGCCAGCCCCAAGAGGGUCUGUGCCCUUUCCCAGCAUGCCAGAAACUCCUUUUUGGGAAGUAAAUCCCUUUAAAAAUUUGCCCCAUAAAGAGCAAGACUGGUGCAUUAAUCUCUAGGCUUGCUUUCCUAAGAAAGCUUUGUUAAGAGAAAGUAAAUCUUUGAAUCCCAUGCCUCCAUUGUCUUUCCUUUGCUUCAAGAAAUCCCAACUCUUCCAAUGAAUACCAGAGUGAGAUUCUCUGCUUUUCCACUAAAAUGCUGCCAUUCUGUGUUCAAUCACUUUACAUAUGGAAACGGGAAUCUUGAAAAUUGACAUUGCAUAUUGAGGAAGAGCCUGCACUACUGUUUUUUAGUAAUAUCUCCUUUCCUGCUUUAGAAUUUAAAGAUUCCUUCCAACCUUCCAUUUUUUUGUUAACUCUUCCAAGUAUCCAGGCAAAACAUAUUCUUCUUAGACUCUCCCCAAUCCAAAGGAAUUCCAAGGUAUUUUCCUGUUUUAUCCAGUUCUAGGACACACCGUUCAUAAGCCAUAUUGGCUCUUAUGGUCUGUGGACACCCUGAGCUAAAGAGUAUUCCUGAUUUGUUUAGGUUUAUCUCCUAUCCAGUAGCAAAACAAUGCUAAUGUUACAUCUGAUAUAGAUUGGCAUUCUUGAAUUCUCCCAUCUAAAAAGAAGAUGGAAUCAUCUGCAAAUAGGAGAUGUGAUAUGGUAGGGGAAAAAGAGUUGAGCUUAAUACCCUUUAUACUGCCAUCCUCCACUGCUUUUCUUCAUCAUAAAAGAUAAAAUGUUUGCUACAAAAAUAUAGAGAUGAGGGGAUGAAAGAUCACCUUGCCAAAGUCCUCUGGAAGGUUGGAAGUAAGGAAGAGGAUUCCCAUUAUAUUUAACACUGAAUGAGACUGAAGAUACACAUUUUAUAACCCAUGUAAUCCACUUUUCAUCAAAGCCCAGUUUUCUUAAGCAUGCCUCCAACAAGUCCCAUUCUACUCUGUCAUGCGCCUUUUUCGUAUCAAGUUUCAAAACCGCUAGGAAUUUUUUCCUCCUCUUCUUUGCUCUUAGUUGAUGCAACACUUCCUGCACUAUCAUGAUAUUGUCCUGGAUAAGUCUCCCACUCAUAAAUGCACUUUGCUCUUGAGCUAUCAAUUUCGAUGACCAAGUUUUGAGUCUAUUCACCAUUACCUUGGAUAUGAUUUUAUAGGCCAAAAUUGCACAAACUAAUGGGGCGGAAUUGAUCAAGAGUUUCUAGGUUAGGAAUUUUGGAACUAGAGUAAUGUGGGUUCUAUUUAAAUCAGGAUUCAUUUUUCCUGAUAUGAAAAUAUUUUUAACUGCUGCAAAUACUUCAAAAAUGAUUUUCUCGAAGUUCUACUUUUGAAGAAUGAUUGGCUUCUCCCUUGAAAUCUAUUUGGUUAUGUUUGUUCGCUUGUGCAGAUACUUUUUAUUUCAUAUUUUCCAUGAGGAUGCUCAAUUGGAAGAUCAAUUGCUCCAAAUAAGCCAUAUGUACUCUUCAGGAAAUCCCUAACUCCAGUUAUCUCAGUCCCUUGACCAUUCUUUUUCAUGGUAAAUAAUUUGCAUGUUCUGAUGCACUGCUAUAUUUUCUUCACAAGAUUCCCUGGCCAUUUUGUAUUCAUUGAUCAGAUUUACGUGUCAGAUUUGACCAAGGGCAGACUAUCAAUCAAAUUCAUCCCAUCUGGAAAAAUCAUCUUCUGAUUUUAUGUUAUAAUCAUUUAAGCAUUAGAAUUUUUAUGCUGUGCAAGGUGGAUUUGUUCCAUUGAUGCUCAUUAUGGACGUUCAAAAUAGCAAGAUAUAAUAUAUCAUGCUAUACAUGAUAAAAGAAACGAUGUCAUUUUGAUAUGGGACAUGAAACCCAAGAGAACCAUAUGUGGAGGUGGUUCUGUUGUGAGAUUAGGAGUGAAGUGCCUGUGUAAAUGGACCAUUUGUUUUGGCACAGGAAUGUAGGCAGAGCUGGACGUUGUAAUUGCUUUGUGAAAGUUUUGGUGUCAAGACUGCUCUGGAAAGAUGGAGAUUCCUCACUGGCACAUUACAGCAUGAUUCAGUACUAAUUGAUUCAGUAGAUAACUAGUUGAUCUCAUGAUGUAGUGUUGAUUUGCAGGAGCUGGUUACUGAAAUAUGACCAGGAAGAUAUCCGAGGAUAGGGGUGAUGCUACGUUAUGGAGACGCGAGUUCAGUCCAAUGGUUUUUGUAGAAUCAAGCUGCAUAUUUCACAUAUUCAACUGCUUUCGGGACGGUUAUGAGGUAUAUUUUUCCUAGUAGCCUAAUUUGAAGGUUAAAAUCCUCUUAGACUAAGCCUCAACUUUAAUGAUAUUGCCCAACAAUGCAGGUUGUGGUGAGAAGAUGCAGAUCUCUUACAGUGGUGUUUCCGUGUCCUGAUUGGGGUAUGAACAAGUUCAAUUGGUUCUCGAGAGGAUUCAACUUAGAGAACCGGUGGAUGCAAAUGCUAACAAACAUGGAGGCUAUCUGUUUACCUGUGCCUAUGAGUGGAGAUUGAACAUGGAAAUUGGGAAAUUCAGGAGUCGAAUCUUAUGGGCACUGAAUUCUCUAUGGACUUCCUUUCAUAAAUGCUGAAUUCACUGGCUUGCGUAAUGGGUAUGGUUAUGCUCAAGUCAUCAAUUCAGAGCAAGCUCUGAAAGUGGUAAUGCAAUGCCAGUCUCUACUCUCGAGUCCAUGUCCAUUUGCCCAAAGUAGCGCAUAAGAUCAGUUUCCUAUUGUUUAUGCAUCACUCAUUUGAUUCAGGAAUGGCUAAAUAUGGAGGUCUUGUGAAAUUAUACUUCGACGAACCUUGUCCUGGGCUGUCUGACUCUGAGAGAGGAAGAUAUCACAAGAAGUUGAUGAAGGUCGGGUACCAUAAUUUCGAAAAGGACAGCUUCUGCAGCAGGUGUGUUCUUGUCCCUAAGAAAGAUGGUCUUGGAGAGGACAGUGGUUGGAUCGUCUCUUGGGUACAUAAUGAAGAAACAGCUGUGUCCCAGGUUCUUGUGAUUGAAGCGCAGAAGUUUAAAGGUGAGCCAAUGGAAAAAAUCACUCUGCCUCAAAGGGCACCCUAUGGAUUCCAUGGUACCUUCGUCUCGUCUUUAUCCCGAAUCGAUGAUUGGGGACACCAGAUCUCAUGUACAAGGCCUUACUUUUCUCAUCA